AGGGAUGAGGGUCCGUUCGGGGAGUACAAUUCGGGAGACGGGGGAGUAACACGUAGGAUAACCUGCCCUCGAGACGGGGACAACCGGUGGAAACGGCGGCUAAUACCCGAUAUGCUCACAGGAUCGGGAGAUCGAGUGAGGAAAGGCUUCGGUGCUUGAGGAGGGAUCUGCGGCCCAUCAGCUAGUUGGUGAGGUAACGGCUCACCAAGGCGAAGACGGGUAGGGGGUGUGAGAGCAUGGCCCCCCACAAUGGGACUGAGACACGGCCCAUACUCCUACGGUACGCAGCAGCGGGGAAUAUUGCGCAAUGGACGGAAGUCAAACGCAGCGACGCCUCGUGGGUGACGAAGGCCUUCGGGUUGUAAAGCCCUUUUCAGGGGAGCGAGAAAGGACGGUACUCUUGGAAGAACCGCCGGAUAACUACAUGCCAGCAAAAAAAAUGAGACGUAGGACGCAACAGUUAUCCGGAUUUACUGGGCGUAUAGCUCCUGUAGGCGGUCAAGUAAGUCCGAUGUGAAAGCCGCGUGCUCAACGCUGGGAAGCCAUUCGAUACUGCGUGACUAGAGAACGGCUGAGGGAAAACGGAAUUUUCUGGUGUAGCGGUAAAAUGCGCAGAGAUCAGAAAGAACAGCGAUGGCUAAGCAGUUUCCUAGGGCCGCAUCUGACGCUGAGAGGCGAAAGCUGGGGAACAAACGGAUUAGUAACCCCUGGUAGU
rnacentral:rRNA from 1 species